GGAACAGUGGCUUCAGACUCCAUGGUGAUGGGCUCUCAUGAGAACUAGCUACAUGAUGAUGUCUGUGGGUGAGAUGUACACACACAUGGACCUGCUUGGUUGACUGGAUGAACAUGAUUGAUUUUUUUUCCUUCUUAAUAGCUCAAGGUGCCUCAAAAAAAACCCUUUCAUUUUCUUAGAAUGGUUUUGUAGGACAUAACAAAUUUUAUUUGAGAGAAGAAGUUAAUAUUAUAUAUCACCUGUCUGGGCAUCUAGUAGGUGUUUGUGAACACCUUCAGUCUGUGGUAAUAGAUUCCUGUAGUAUUUAAUGGAACGGACCUUUCCUGUGGAUACCAUAGUGUCAAGAUUUAUGGAGGCCGAAGGUUACCAUCAAACAUGGCACCCCACAAUACUCGGGGUGAUUUUCUCUAACAGAGCUGUGUGCUCUGAUUACCAGCCACUGGCCCUAGUUCUCUCUGCCUUUCAACUGAUGUGCAUAAGACGCAACACAACUGUCACUUUAAAAGUAUGAAUAUCCUGAUUCUUUGACAAACACGACUUUUCCAAGGGAUGUUUAAUUUCGAGAACAGAUACGCAUAUGUAACUAAAUUCUCUUUGUGUUGAUUAAAAAAGUAUGACUUGGGUA